UGGGAUCUACAAUGUCGGCACUGGAAAAGGUUAAGAAAUCUGUCAUUUCCCUUGAAAUUAUUAUCAUCCUUUCCUUACCCUUGCCUCGCUGGCCCUGCAUUUCCUGAAGUUAUUUUGGAUCAUUUUCAUCACAGGUAGUUCAGUGAAGGAAUUUGUUGAGGCAUGCAAGAAGGCGACAGGGGUGGACAUAAAGGUUGAUUACCUCGACAGAAGGCCAGGGGACUAUGCUAAAGUUUAUAGUGAUCCUUCCAAGGUAAGGCAGGAGCUGAAUUGGACAGCCCACUACACACUUCAAGAGAGCCUGCAGAUUGCAUGGAGAUGGCAAAAAUCGCAUUUGAAUGGCUAUGGUCCUUAGGUUGAAAAGAUACCAGAGAUAGCAUUGCGGAAGCAGGAUGUUGCUCCUUGAGUUGAACUUGGAUUUCCUUUUAAUUGGAACACUACAUAAAUUUCCA
rnacentral:lncRNA from 1 species